GCUCGUCUAGCUCAGUUGUAGAGUGCAAGACUCAUAACUUUGAGUUUGUGGGUUCGAGCCCCACCGUGGGUG
rnacentral:tRNA from 1 species